CUUUGGGUGAAUGCAAUCUAAUUAUUGGGCAACACUAUUAUUGUCCCUCUUUGAUGGAUGGGGUAGCCAGGUUUGGGGGUGUAGUAGUCUGUUUUCACACUGCUAUAAAGAACUGCUCGAGACUGGAUAAUUUAUAAAGGAAAGAGGUUUAAUUGACUCACAGUUCCAUAUGGCUGGGGAGGCCACAGGAAACUUACAAUCAUGGCGGAAGGCAAAGGGGAAGCAGGCACCUUCUUCACAAGGCAGCAGUAGAGAGAAGAGCAAAGGGGGAACUUCCAAACGCUUAUAAAACCAUCAGAUCCUGUGAGAACUCACUCACUAUCAGGAGAACAGCAUGGGAGAAACUGCCCCCAUGAUCCAAUCACCCCCCUCCCUCGACAAGUGGGGAUUACAAUUUGAGAUAAGAUUUGGGUGGAGACACAGAGCCAAACCAUAUCAGAUUUUAGGAUCCACCCCAAUUGUGGCAGUGAUGGGUGGUGGAGCUGGAAGCCAGGUCUGACUCCCACUCCUGUGCUCCUCCCAUUCUGCCACAUGGGAAAGUCUGCCCCACUUCAACCAUUCCUGUCCUCAGCAACAUGACUUGACUGGAGGACUUGUCACAGCAGGGUACUGUCAUCAUCAUUGAUAAGUAACCAUGACAAGCAAGAAUCACCCCAGCACAUGACUCAAUAAUGCCUCACAGAUCAUAAAGCCCCUUCCCACCCACUGUUUCCUCUGAGCCUCACAGCACCCUAUGAGAUGGGCAGGGGAAUUUCUUUCCUGCCAUUCUGCCUAUGGGGACACAGAGACCUUGGAAUGUCAAGUGACUUCUCUGAGGCUACACGGCUAGGAGGUGGCAAAAGCAGGAAGGAACUGGAGCUAAUGUCUGCAUCUACAUCAUGAUUGGCCCAAGACACUAGCACCCUCAACCCCCAAGCUUUCUAUGUGGUAUUGGCAAGACAGCUCACUGCUGGAGAAACCAAUCCUGGAGGAAAUUCUGCCAUGAACAGGGAGCCUCACUCCCUCAACAGUGAUGAAUGACUUUCAUAAACAUGAAUAGUUUCUGAGAAGGUGUCCUCUUGCCUGGGGUCCUACUUCAGAUGGCCAAGUCAGAAGGACAUAAUCCCACUGCUGGGAAAUCCAGGCCAGGUCAGACUCCAUAACAUGCUUUAAAAUGUGAGAGCCCCAGUCUGCUAGCAUGGUCUCAGAGAUGGAGGGAGCCACAGCCUCUGAGUAGAUCCUGACCCAGCAUUCCAUGGCAGUAUCCUUUGGAAAGAAACUUUCACCAAACCUGAUGGGAACCUCUCCUCAAGGACUGCUAAGUCAGGAAAUGGGGUAUGCAGGGUCUGGAAGUUGGAAGCUGGCCGCAUCCCCCAAAUGAGCAGGUCCAAGACACUUAUUCAUACAUCAGGAAAACCAGGGUCCAGAGAUGGAGAGAAAUCCAAGGCUUGGAGCCACUUGGAUGGUCACCCAGGGCCAUCAGCAUCUACUAGCCAGGAGGAGGCUGGGACAUUCGGGAGGCAAUGGAGAGAAGGAAAUAGAAGGAAGAGGGCUGGGGCUCCCAGCAGUCUAAUUACAGGGUCCCAAGGCCCAGCAGUCUUUCAGGGAGAAAAAUCGGUCGGACUUGGACAAAUCAGCUGCACAGUGUUAACCUUCCAGAGACUGAACUCUCUCCCCAUUUCCAGGAAUCUAAUCUUUGAUGUAUCUUUGAAUAACUUUAAAAAAAAUAAAUCCUGAAUAAUCUUAGAUGAUUGUAAGGAUCUGGGUAUAUCACCACCUCUCCCCACAUCCCCUGCUUGCCUCACUUCCACACCUCCCUGCAGAUGUACUUGCAAUAGGGGACUCAAAGCGGAAAGCUGUCAAAGGAUUUCAUUAACUGAAAUAUGACGGUAACUUCUCAGGUCUUUCUGGUCAUUGUGGCUCACACCUGUAAUCCCAGCACUUGGGAGGCCAAGGUGGGUGUAUCACCUGAGGUCAGGAGUUCGAGACCAGCCUGGGCAACAUGAUGAAAUCCCGUCUCUACUAAAAAUACAUGGUGGUGCAUGCCUGUAUUCACAGCUAUCUGGGAGGCUGAGGCAGGAUAAUCACCUGAACCCAGAACACUGAGGCUGCAGUGAGCUAAAAUCCCACCAUUGCACUCUAGCCUGGGCAACAAGAGCAAAACUCCAUCUCAAAAAAAAAAAACAAUUUCUCAGGUCUCUUCCCAAUUCCAUCUCUCUCUCCUACCACGUGACUACAGGGUAAUUG
rnacentral:lncRNA from 1 species